CGUGUCUUCAUUCCGGCAGCUGUCAACUCAGCCGUCCAUCGGCGAGUUUUUAUUUAAUCUUUUAACUUUUCUGUUGUGCGCAUUUAUUUUUUUCAUUUUCAUUAAUACAUGUUUUUGACAGUGUGGCGUAGUAAGUCGAGUGUGGCCACUGUAAAGCAAAAGCUUUCCAGUUUUACAGCGUCAAAUGUCGAGUCCGAGAGGAAGGUCACAGGCCCCAGCAUGGGAGAGGCUGGCCACUAGAUGGCGUUCAACAGCAGGAAGAUUCAUUGGCUUGUGUUGGUACAAAUAUGGGUCUCCACAGAGCUGACAUAGGGCCUGAUUUAAAGAUAAAAGGCCCAUUCAUGGGACAUGGAAAACAACAAAAACAAAAACUGGUGCCCAGGUUUGGUGUUCACUACUGGUGAAAAAAAUGAUAGGUUAAAUGCAGAGGUCAAAUUCAAUAUCACUAAAUGGUGCAUGUGUAAAUUCAACUAAUUCUAAUGCAACAAAUUCUAAAUAUCCGAUAAGUACUGCAAGUACUGCUAUACUGCAUGUACAUUGGUAGAUUAAAACAACCCAUUAUUACUCCUCUCCCUGCCCACUCAUUUCCUGUCGUACCAGAUGCCCUUGAAUAAAGGAAUGGAUACCAAAGAAACAGAAUAAUAAUUUUAACAAUCAUGAAGUUGCAUCAAAUUAAUUUAGUUUAACAUGCACCAUUUCAGUCUUCCCAGGACAUGUAAUAUAACAUAACUGUGUUGUACAGAAGGAAAUAUGGCAGCUACCAAUCACAUCAUAUUAAUGCAAUGUUCCUACAGAUCUAAAAAAUAAAGAGCAACAGACUUGAGACUCGUUUUGAUGUUUUAGUCUACUGGUGUCAGUUGUUUCUGCUCAGUCCUGAAACAGACUAGUCACUCUGAUCUCCUGCGUCAUCUCCUUCUGUAAACCCCUAACACUCACUCUCUCCAGACACCACCACAAAUGACUUAAUACAAUGGUGUAUUUUUUACUCAAAUGCUUAUUUGUCUAUUGUCUCUUGUCAGAACUGCUUCUUCAAGCUGUUUUCAUAGAAAUAAAAAUAAAAACAUAGUUGCCACAUUA